AUGAGGAAGUCUGGAACAAAAGAGGGUAUCGAGGGAUCUAUUGGAUUUAAGCAUGGGAUUGAUGUGAACCCAUCUUCUGUUUCUACUCAAACAGGAGGAACGCGAUCUGAUUUGAUGAUUCGAGUGUGCAGUUGUACUAGAAGGUCCUCGUCACUUCAUAAUCCUAAUACCAGAAGUAUUAUGAUGACCUGCAAAAGCUGUGGUGGCCAAUCAACAGUGGACAGAGGUGGGCCAUCGUGUAGCAGCAACCUUAACACCAGCGAUUUGGAGCUCCCCAGACCUAUAGAUCCUGAGGUGAGAUGGAAGACUGUAAACAGAAGGCAAAGAGCUGCAAGGAGAGCAAAGACCUUUUCUGGAGGAGACAGAUUAAAGGAUGAAAUUAUAUCUUUCUAUGCAUGUGGCAAUCCCACGAGUCUAGAAGUGGCUCAAGAAGAGGCUUCAGCCUCUGAAUCUGAGAAGCUUGGGGUAUCUAUUCUUGGUCGGCGCUUUGGUGAUCCCAUGGAAAAUGUUCCAAUAAAAAAGAGAAGAGUUCAUAUGGAUUGUUCUCCAUCUCCUCCAUCCACCCCACUGCUAGUGGAUCCUUAUGAAAAAAUACCGAGCAGAUCUGGUGGAGGCAUUUCAUCAUAUGGCAAGCACCGCAAGGUUAAAACACUAGGAGGCAAGCACAUGGAAGAAAAGAGAGGACCUCUUGAAGCUGCUGAUUUUUCUGGUAUAUCAAUACUGGCUGCUGCUGCCUGUGAAAGUGAGAUGGAUGUUGCUAAGUUAAAUGGUGAAUGCUCGAAGUCAGCCCGCUCUCUUGAUGAAAGAAAGCAAGAAAUUAUCUCUGGCAGUUCACUGUUGGAUCCUCUACAUGGAAUUAAGGGGGAUAAGCUAAAUAUCCGAGACAGGGCCCUGAAAUUAUCUGAAAUUGCUCCUGACAUGAAGCCUUUGUUUCCCACUACAUUAAAUAGCUCUGAGUCUGCUCCUGACAUGAAGCCCUUGUUCCCCACAACAUUAAAUGGCCCAGAGAAUCUUGUUGGAUCUGCAGCUGCUCUGGAGGGUAAUACUGCACUUUAUUCUUUGUUGAGCAAUGCAAACAAAACAGAUAUUUUUUCAUCUGUUUCUGAUGCUAAAUCUUCGGAUGUUACCAUGUCAACUAACUCGAGCAGUCCAGGCAAAUCAGUAGGCUGCUUUGGAGAUACAGUUGUGCACACCAAGCAUUCCAAUGCGGCUCAUGAUUCUAGACUGCACUGGGAUCUUAACAUUGCGAUGGAGGCGUGGGACGCCCAUUGUGGUGAUGAUGAUAAUCAUGAUAUGGUUGGUCCUGAUCCUGUAGCUUCUGUAAGUGAUUGUAAUGAUGCUCAAAAGGAGAUGAACAAAUCACAGGUGUGUCGGGAUCUUUCUCAGGCAACAGUUGCUGAGGUCAUACUUCGUCAUUCUGUUGAUAAAAUUCACGUGGCUGAUGCAGCAAAAGAUGGUAACGCAAAGGGUGAAAGUGAUAUCCCAGGUGAUGGUUCAUUUCAUCCUUUGUGCAGUCGGUCUCCCCCGAAAGUUCAGCUAUUGGAAUCCGAAUGUUUAAAUGGAGAUGAUUCCUCUGCCAAAACAAACAAUUUGCUUGAUCUGCAGAAGAGUAGUUAUGUUUCUAAUGUGUCAUUGCAUAUCGGAUCUAAUCCAGACUUGAGUUCUCUGUCUCUUACUAAGGAACAUUUCGCUUUCGCUGCAAAUGUGGAGAAACUUGAUGUGUCACACACUUCACCCCUUGAUUGUGAAGGUUUGUCUCACUUGACUUCUGAGGAUGCUCAUGCUGGAGGUAGUUCAAUUCAAACAAGUGUUCUGGGCUCCAGAGUGAAGCCUAUGACAAGCAGAUUAGUUUCUGAGGAAAGCACAAAUAUUGCAACAGUUUCCAGUAAAAGUUUUACUGACGCUGGGUGGAGCGAUGAUAAACUUGGGCAAGCUUCACUACAGAGCAUAUCUGAAUUUAAAAACCAUGAACUUUUGGAUGUUGAUUCAGGAACUAGUAAAAUUGAUCAGUCCGUCAAUGACAAGGCUGAACAUGACACUGACGUAUUGUGCGUUGACAAGAAAGCUGCAGAUGCAGACAAUGAUUCAGACCUCCCUGAUUCUCAUCCAGAGGAUAACCUACGCACUUCUGAUUGCGUUAUGUCCUAUGCGCAUAUAGAGGGUGGUGUGGAUGCAACAAUCGAUUACAGAAAUCGUUUACUUGCUUGUGUCAACGCUACCAGUGCAGAAACAUGUUACAUCACCAGUGAUAUUCAUGCUCAUGGUCUCAAUUCAGAGUGCACUAAACAAGCAGAUACUGACAUGGACAAUAUUGUGGAUUCAAAAUCUAGAGCACAAAGCCAACCAAGUGGUUACAAACAUGAUCUUCAGAAGGUCACAUCAAAUAAUUGCCUUGAACACCGCUAUCAGACAGACACGUCUCGUUUUAGCAAAGAUCUUUCUGUGACCGGAAAAGUUGACGUCGAGGAAGAUGAUUCUCAGUAUGAGGAUGGGGAACUUAGGGAAUCUGGUGACCGUUAUUGGGCCGAUGACAUUUAUGAAGAAGUUAAAUGUGCUAGUUAUCAGGUAUCAGAUUACAAGGAUGAAAAAGCUGCCCCAGACAUUCAUCAUGUACCUGUUGGCUCUGUUCCAAACAAUAUGGUUAUGCCAGUUGCUAAUUACAAUGGAACGUUAUCGAGGAAGGAAGAUUGUGAUGUUUCACCCAUCUCAUCGAAGCGCUCAUGGUCAAGUAACUGCUUGGAUGGUGGAUCUGGAAUGAUGUGUGCUGCAAGUGCUCGGAGCAUUCAUGUGAAUAUGAAAAAUGAGAGUCGAAUGUAUGACAACCUAGACCUUACAAUAGCUCGAUCUGCUGGGACCGUUAGCCAGUCUGAAAGGGGUGGUGAUGGUUUAGGUGAGGAUCCAUUGAAUAUCAGAUCAAAGCCCGUGGGAUGGGAUAUGUUGCCUGAUCAGAGGCACUCUCGAGAAGAUUCAAGAGACAGAGUUGAUUCUUCUAACCUGUGUGUUUUAGGUACAUUAGAGGCAGCUGAAGCCUGUGAAUCAUUUCGACCAAUGGGGUUACCAAAUAGAGACAUACAAUCACGACUUGAUCGGCUAAGAUCAUUUGACAGACCCCACAGAAAUGAGCACUGCAGAUCUGAUGAUGGCUAUGGUUCUGGCUCAAAAACUGAAAGGUCUGUUGAUAGGCCACAUGGCAGGGCCGGAGCAUCUCGGCAUAUUCAAGCAAACAUCCGAGGGGAGCAGUGGGCUGAAAAUUCAAAUAGUUCUCGUUCUACCCAGCGAAGAUCACCUGAUUAUAAUAAUUAUGGCCCAGCUGGUCCAAGAAAUGCUGCUGAAGCUGCUGUUGCAAAGAUGGAGAGCAGUGGCUUUGUUGUUGCAGCUGAUGGCACUUUGGUAAGAGCUGUUGAUGCAGCAAAUACAAGUACCAUGUCCAGAAGGAUGAGAAACAAAAGUAGCUUCUAUCACCCUUUGUCUAGACGGUGUUCCCCAGUUGACAGAGAUGGAAGUCGUGGGUUGUCCAGAGAACCUGCACAUGCUAGGGAAGCACCUCCAGAACGAUGCUUUGGUGCUAGCGGCAACCGGUCUGGUCGAUAUGGUUCUCAGAUGGAUAAAGAUCAUGCCAUUGAUGAAAAUUUGAGUUCAGUUCAUAGCUCACUGUCUAAUAGACAACGGAGGUUCCCAGCGCAUAGAGCCUCACUCGACCUGUCACGUGCUCACAGCAGAUCUCCUUCAGGAUCUAGAUCUCGAUCACCACAUGCUUGGACGUCCAACGGAGGCUCAAGUAUACGGAGGCAUAGUAGAUCUCCUAAUUACAUGACUGGAGUUAGAAUUGGUAGAAUGACUUCACCUCAAAGACAACAUCGAUUCAAUGAUCGAGUUAUGCGUGGUAGUCCAUCAAGAAAUUCCACUUACUCUCAACAUGAUUCAACAUGGGUUGAAGGAAGGAGCUGCUCAACACUAGAUAUUUCUUAUCACAAGAAACGGUAUUCUCGGAGGAGCCCACCUCUGAGAAUCACCUCAAGAAAUGACAUGUUCGAUUUAAUGGAUUCCCAAGGACGGUCAAGAUCUCGAGAGUUCCACCGCCCAACACGUGACUUCAAAAGGGGAAAUAAGCAUGAUGGGAAUGGUGAUGAUAAAAGAUGUAAUGAUAGAUAUGGAACUGUCAAACCAUAUGAACAUAAUGGUGCUGUGAAGCAGUUCAGGAAUCAUGCUGGAGAUAAACCUCAUCCACACACUUCUGCACCCAGAUCACCUGAACCGCAAAGAGGAAGCCCUCAGCGAUUUUGA
rnacentral:rRNA from 1 species